GAGUUUGAUCAUGGCUCAGGAUGAACGCUAGCGGCAGGCUUAACACAUGCAAGUCGAGGGGUAACAGGGAUUGCUUGCAAUCCGCUGACGACCGGCGCACGGGUGCGUAACGCGUAUGCAACCUACCUUUUACUGGGGGAUAGUCAAGAGAAAUUUUGAAUAAUACCCCAUACGAUCCAAUUCACUCCUGUGAGAUGGAAGAAAACUUCGGUGGUAAAAGAUGGGCAUGCGUCCUAUUAGUUUGUUGGUGAGGUAACGGCUCACCAAGACUACGAUAGGUAGGGGUCCUGAGAGGGAGAUCCCCCACACUGGUACUGAGACACGGACCAGACUCCUACGGGAGGCAGCAGUGAGGAAUAUUGGACAAUGGAGGCAACUCUGAUCCAGCCAUGCCGCGUGCAGGAAGACGGCCCUAUGGGUUGUAAACUGCUUUUAUACAGGAAGAAACGUUAGUACGUGUACUAGCCUGACGGUACUGUAAGAAUAAGGAUCGGCUAACUCCGUGCCAGCAGCCGCGGUAAUACGGAGGAUCCAAGCGUUAUCCGGAAUCAUUGGGUUUAAAGGGUCCGCAGGCGGUCUAUUAAGUCAGAGGUGAAAUCCUAUCGCUUAACGAUAGAACUGCCUUUGAUACUGGUAGACUUGAGUUAUUGUGAAGUAGUUAGAAUGUGUAGUGUAGCGGUGAAAUGCAUAGAUAUUACACAGAAUACCGAUUGCGAAGGCAGAUUACUAACAAUAUACUGACGCUCAGGGACGAAAGCGUGGGUAGCGAACAGGAUUAGAUACCCUGGUAGUCCACGCCGUAAACGAUGGUCACUAGCUGUUUGACUAACAUUGGUUAGUUGAGUGGCUAAGCGAAAGUGA
rnacentral:rRNA from 1 species